CAGGAGAAUCACUUGAACCUGGGAGGCGGAGGUUGCAGUUGGCUGAGACCUGCCAGUGAACUCCAGCCUGGGUGACAGAGAGAGGCCUUAUCUCAAAAAAAAAAAAAAAUUAAU